rnacentral:rRNA from 1 species
AUUGAACGCUGGCGGAAUGCUUUACACAUGCAAGUCGAACGGCAGCACGGACUUCGGUCUGGUGGCGAGUGGCGAACGGGUGAGUAAUGUAUCGGAACGUGCCCAGUCGUGGGGGAUAACGUAGUGAAAAUUACGCUAAUACCGCAUACGAUCUAUGGAUGAAAGCGGGGGAUCGCAAGACCUCGCGCGAUUGGAGCGGCCGAUAUCAGAUUAGGUAGUUGGUGGGGUAAAGGCCCACCAAGCCAACGAUCUGUAGCUGGUCUGAGAGGACGACCAGCCACACUGGAACUGAAACACGGUCCAGACUCCUACGGGAGGCAGCAGUGGGGAAUUUUGGACAAGGGGCGAAAGCCUGAUCCAGCCAUUCCGCGUGCAGGAUGAAGGCCCUCGGGUUGUAAACUGCUUUUGUACAGAACGAAAAGGUUUCUACUAAUACUAGGAGCUCAUGACGGUACUGUAAGAAUAAGCACCGGCUAACUACGUGCCAGCCGCCGCGGUAA